GACGAACGCUGGCGGCGUGCUUAACACAUGCAAGUCGAACGGAAAGGCCCUGCUUUUGUGGGGUGCUCGAGUGGCGUACGGGUGAGUAACACGUGAGUAACCUGCCCUUGACUUUGGGAUAACUUCAGGAAACUGGGGCUAAUACCGGAUAGGAGCUCCUGCUGCAUGGUGGGGGUUGGAAAGUUUCGGCGGUUGGGGAUGGACUCGCGGCUUAUCAGCUUGUUGGUGGGGUAGUGGCUUACCAAGGCUUUGACGGGUAGCCGGCCUGAGAGGGUGACCGGCCACACUGGGACUGAGAUACGGCCCAGACUCCUACGGGAGGCAGCAGUGGGGAAUAUUGCACAAUGGGCGGAAGCCUGAUGCAGCAACGCCGCGUGCGGGAUGACGGCCUUCGGGUUGUAAACCGCUUUCGCCUGUGACGAAGCGUGAGUGACGGUAAUGGGUAAAGAAGCACCGGCUAACUACGUG
rnacentral:rRNA from 1 species